rnacentral:rRNA from 1 species
ACGGCUCAGUAACACGUAGUCAACAUGCCCAAGGGACGUGGAUAACCUCGGGAAACUGAGGAUAAACCGCGAUAGGCCAAGAUUUCUGGAAUGGAUCAUGGCCGAAAUCUAUAUGGCCCUUGGAUUGGACUGCGGCCGAUCAGGCUGUUGGUGAGGUAAUGGCCCACCAAACCUAUAACCGGUACGGGCUUUGAGAGAAGGAGCCCGGAGAUGGGCACUGAGACAAGGGCCCAGGCCCUAUGGGGCGCAGCAGGCGCGAAAACUCUGCAAUAGGCGAAAGCUUGACAGGGUUACUCUGAGUGAUGCCCGCUAAGGGCAUCUUUUGGUACCUCUAAAAAUGGUGCAGAAUAAGGGGUGGGCAAGUCCGGUGUCAGCCGCCGCGGUAAUACCAGCACCCCGAGUGGUCGGGACGAUUAUUGGGCCUAAAGCAUCCGUAGCUUGUCCUGCAAGUCUUCCGUUAAAUCCACCUGCUCAACAGAUGGGCUGCGGGAGAUACUACAGGGCUAGGAGGCCAGUGGCGAAGGCGGCUUGCCAGAACGCGCUCGACGGUGAGGGAUGAAAGCUGGGGGAGCAAACCGGAUUAGAUACCCGGGUAGUCCCAGCUGUAAACGAUGCAGACUCGGUGAUGGGUUGGCUUCGGGCCAACCCAGUGCCGCAGGGAAGCCGUUAAGUCUGCCGCCUGGGGAGUACGGUCGCAAGACUGAAACUUAAAGGAAUUGGGAGAGGCAAGCGGUACUCAGUGGGUAGGGGUAAAAUCCUCUGAUCCACUGAAGACCACGGCGGGGGAGCAC